rnacentral:tRNA from 1 species
GACGGUGUAGCCUAAUGGAUAAGGCAUCUGACUUCAGAUUAGAAGAUUGAGGGUUCGAGUCCCUUCGUGGUUG